AGGAAUGGCACCGCUUCCUUCAGGGGCACUGGCACCCUCACACAUCUGUGGAUCUGUAGCCUUGGGGCUUGAGUACUUGUUUGGUGUGUGCUUGGCAUGAAGGGUUCCUGUAAUUUCCAGCUCAGGAUACACGUUCUGGACACAGCGCAGAUGUACAGAACUACACCUGCAGUUGCAGGAGUGCCAAAGAUGAAAAAUGUGACCACUUUUCUCUCAAGAGAAGCUAAUGACAGACUGAGCCGAAAGCUUUGGCUUCUGUCUGCUGUUCUUCCCAACGGUGA